UAGCGUUAUUUUAGAUUACCGGAGGUAAAGCACUGAAUGGUCUAGGGGCCGCGAGGUUACCAAAGCCUAUCAAACUCUGAAUGCCGGAUAAUUGAUGAAUAGCAGUCAGACUGUGUGAGAUAAGUCUCAUAGUCAAAAGGGAAACAGCCCAGAUCUACAGCUAAGGUCCCAAAUGAACACUAAGUGGAAAAUGAUGUGAAACUGCGAAGACAACCAGGAUGUUGGCUUAGAAGCAGCCACUCAUUCAAAGAGUGCGUAAUAGCUCACUGGUCGAGUGGUUUUGCGCAGAAAAUGUAACGGGGCUAAGUGUUCAACCGAAGCUUAGGCAUUGCAGUAAUGCAUUGGGUAGGGGAGCGUCGUAUGCGGGGCGAAGUCAGAGCGGAAGCACUGGUGGACUGCAUACGAGUGAGAAUGCCGGAAUAAGUAGCGAGAAUUAUGUGAGAAUCAUAAUGGCCGAAAAUCUAAGGUUUCUUGGGGAAGGUUCGUCCGCCCAAGGUUAGUCGGGAGCUAAGCUCAGGCCGAAAGGCGUAGGCGAUGCACAUACGGUAGAAAUUCCGUAACCACCGAACAUUUAAGCUAGAGGGACGCUUUCUUUAAGGUUAUCCCGGGCGAUGGUUGCCCCGGGCGUAAGGGACCGAAAUAUAGUAGGGAAGUAACUGGCGAGAGAGACGAGAAAAGCUCUAGUGUAUACUAAGGUGCCCGUACCGCAAACCGACACAGGUAGAUGGGAUGAGUAUUCUAAGGCCAACGGGAGAAGGGUUGUUAAGGAACUCGGCAAAUUGGCCCCGUAACUUCGGGAUAAGGGGCGCCUGCGAGAGCAGGCCGCAGUGAAAAGGCCCAAGCGACUGUUUAGCAAAAACACAGCUCUCUGCUAAAUCGAAAGAUGACGUAUAGGGGGUGACGCCUGCCCGGUGCUGGAAGGUUAAGGGGAGUGCUUAGCGCAAGCGAAGGUGCGAACUUAAGCCCCAGUAAACGGCGGCCGUAACUAUAACGGUCCUAAGGUAGCGAAAUUCCUUGUCAGGUAAGUUCUGACCCGCACGAAUGGCGUAACGAUUUGGGCACUGUCUCAACAGCCCGCCCGGCGAAAUUGUAGUACCGGUGAAGAUGCCGGUUUCCCGCAACUAGACGGAAAGACCCCAUGGAGCUUUACUGUAGCUUGAUAUUGGAUCUCGGUAUUCCAUGUACAGGAUAGGUGGGAGGCUAGGAAGCGAGCGCGCCAGCGUUCGUGGAGCCAACCUUGGGAUACCACUCUUGGGAUAUUGGGAUUCUAACCUGCGACCAUGAAUCUGGUCGGGGGACACUGUCAGGUGGGCAGUUUGACUGGGGCGGUCGCCUCCAAAAGAGUAACGGAGGCGCUCAAAGGUUCGUUCAGCACGGAUGGAAAUCGUGCACUGAGUGUAAACGCAUAAACGAGCCUAACUGCGAGAAUGACGGUUCGAGCAGUAACGAAAGUUGGAGUUAGUGAUCCGGCGGUAUGUGAAUGGAAAUGCCGUCGCUCAACGGAUAAAAGCUACCCUGGGGAUAACAGGCUGAUCUCCCCCA
rnacentral:rRNA from 1 species